AGAGUUUGAUCCUGGCUCAGAAUCAACGCUGGCGGCGUGCCUAACACAUGCAAGUCGCACGAGAAAGUGGAGCAAUCCAUGAGUAAAGUGGCGUACGGGUGAGUAACACGUGACUAACCUACCUUCGAGUGGGGAAUAACUUCGGGAAACCGAGGCUAAUACCGCAUAACAUCUUUUGGUUGAGAUACCGAUUGAUCAAACCAGUAGUGGGCUUGAAGAGGGGGUCGCGGCUGAUUAGCUAGUUGGUGGGGUAACGGCCCACCAAGGCGAUGAUCAGUAGCCGGCCUGAGAGGGCGCACGGCCACACUGGAACUGAAACACGGUCCAGACUCCUACGGGAGGCAGCAGUGGGGAAUUUUGCGCAAUGGGGGAAACCCUGACGCAGCAACGCCGCGUGGAGGAUGAAGUCCCUUGGGACGUAAACUCCUUUCGAUCGGGACGAUUAUGACGGUACCGGUGGAAGAAGCCCCGGCUAACUUCGUGCCAGCCGCCGCGGUAAUAC
rnacentral:rRNA from 1 species